UACGUAGGGUGCAAGCGUUAAUCGGAAUUACUGGGCGUAAAGCGUGCGCAGGCGGUGAUGCAAGACAGAUGUGAAAUCCCCGGGCUCAACCUGGGAACUGCAUUUGUGACUGCAUGGCUAGAGUACGGUAGAGGGGGAUGGAAUUCCGCGUGUAGCAGUGAAAUGCGUAGAUAUGCGGAGGAACACCGAUGGCGAAGGCAAUCCCCUGGACCUGUACUGACGCUCAUGCACGAAAGCGUGGGGAGCAAACAGG
rnacentral:rRNA from 1 species